rnacentral:rRNA from 1 species
GAAGGUGGCCUGUGAGGGUUGCUGGAGGUAUCAGAAGUGCGAAUGCUGACAUAAGUAACGAUAAAGCGGGUGAAAAGCCCGCUCGCCGGAAGACCAAGGGUUCCUGUCCAACGUUAAUCGGGGCAGGGUGAGUCGACCCCUAAGGCGAGGCCGAAAGGCGUAGUCGAUGGGAAACGGGUUAAUAUUCCCGUACUUGGUGUUACUGCGAAGGGGGGACGGAGAAGGCUAUGUUGGCCGGGCGACGGUUGUCCCGGUUUAAGCGUGUAGGUGUGUGUUCCAGGUAAAUCCGGUUCACUUUAACACUGAGGCGUGAUGACGAGGCACUACGGUGCUGAAGCAACAAAUGCCCUGCUUCCAGGAAAAGCCUCUAAGCAUCAGGUAACAUCAAAUCGUACCCCAAACCGACACAGGUGGUCAGGUAGAGAAUACCAAGGCGCUUGAGAGAACUCGGGUGAAGGAACUAGGCAAAAUGGUGCCGUAACUUCGGGAGAAGGCACGCUGACAUGUAGGUGAAGUGAUUUACUCACGGAGCUGAAGUCAGUCGAAGAUACCAGCUGGCUGCAACUGUUUAUUAAAAACACAGCACUGUGCAAACACGAAAGUGGACGUAUACGGUGUGACGCCUGCCCGGUGCCGGAAGGUUAAUUGAUGGGGUCAGCGCAAGCGAAGCUCCUGAUCGAAGCCCCGGUAAACGGCGGCCGUAACUAUAACGGUCCUAAGGUAGCGAAAUUCCUUGUCGGGUAAGUUCCGACCUGCACGAAUGGCGUAAUGAUGGCCAGGCUGUCUCCACCCGAGACUCAGUGAAAUUGAACUCGCUGUGAAGAUGCAGUGUACCCGCGGCAAGACGGAAAGACCCCGUGAACCUUUACUAUAGCUUGACACUGAACAUUGAGCCUUGAUGUGUAGGAUAGGUGGGAGGCUUUGAAGUGUGGACGCCAGUCUGCAUGGAGCCGACCUUGAAAUACCACCCUUUAAUGUUUGAUGUUCUAACGUGGACCCGUAAUCCGGGUUGCGGACAGUGUCUGGUGGGUAGUUUGACUGGGGCGGUCUCCUCCUAAAGAGUAACGGAGGAGCACGAAGGUUGGCUAAUCCUGGUCGGACAUCAGGAGGUUAGUGCAAUGGCAUAAGCCAGCUUGACUGCGAGCGUGACGGCGCGAGCAGGUGCGAAAGCAGGUCAUAGUGAUCCGGUGGUUCUGAAUGGAAGGGCCAUCGCUCAACGGAUAAAAGGUACUCCGGGGAUAACAGGCUGAUACCGCCCAAGAGUUCAUAUCGACGGCGGUGUUUGGCACCUCGAUGUCGGCUCAUCACAUCCUGGGGCUGAAGUAGGUCCCAAGGGUAUGGCUGUUCGCCAUUUAAAGUGGUACGCGAGCUGGGUUUAGAACGUCGUGAGACAGUUCGGUCCCUAUCUGCCGUGGGCGCUGGAGAACUGAGGGGGGCUGCUCCUAGUACGAGAGGACCGGAGUGGACGCAUCACUGGUGUUCGGGUUGUCAUGCCAAUGGCACUGCCCGGUAGCUAAAUGCGGAAGAGAUAAGUGCUGAAAGCAUCUAAGCACGAAACUUGCCCCGAGAUGAGUUCUCCCUGAGACUUUAAGUCUCCUGAAGGAACGUUGAAGACGACGACGUUGAUAGGCCGGGUGUGUAAGCGCAGCGAUGCGUUGAGCUAACCGGUACUAAUGAACCGUGAGGCUUAACCUUACAACGCCGAAG